rnacentral:rRNA from 1 species
AACGCAGCGAAGGGCGAUAAGUAAUGUGAAUUGCAGAAUUCAGUGAAUCAUCGAAUCUUUGAACGCACAUUGCGCCCGCUAGUACUCUAGCGGGCAUGCCUGUUCGAGCGUCAUUUCAACCCUCAAGCCCUGCUUGGUGUUGGGGGCCCUACGGCUGCCGUAGGCCCUGAAAGGAAGUGGCGGGCUCGCUACAACUCCGAGCGUAGUAAUUCAUUAUCUCGCUAGGGACGUUGCGGCGCGCUCCUGCCGUUAAAGACCAUCUUUAACUCAAGGUUGACCUCGGAUCAGGUAGGAAUACCCGCUGAACUUAA